rnacentral:rRNA from 1 species
UACGGGGGGGGGCAAGCGUUGUUCGGAAUUACUGGGCGUAAAGGGCUCGUAGGCGGCCAACUAAGUCAGACGUGAAAUCCCCAGGCUUAACCUGGGAACUGCGUCUGAUACUGGAUGGCUUGAAUCCGGGAGAGGGAUGCAGAAUUCCAGGUGUAGCGGUGAAAUGCGUAGAUAUCUGGAGGAAUACCGGUGGCGAAGGCGGCAUCCUGGACCGGCAUUGACGCUGAGGAGCGAAAGCUAGGGGAGCAAACGGG